rnacentral:siRNA from 1 species
ACAAUUUUACAUCCUCUAACUA